UGGCCACGACUCCUCCCUCUGAAUUUUGCCAUCAUCCUGUACUGUUUUGGGACGCACUGACUUAGAUUUUCUUUCAUUGAAAUUCCAUAAGAAUUAAGAAUGUAAGCAGCUGCUGAAGCCGAUUUGAUCUGCUAAUUUCAUUUGAGGGUACAUCAAAACAAUUACUUUUCCAGAAGAGACAAGGAAAUAAAAGCAAGAAUAGUAUGUGUGAUUAAGCAUUUACUCUGGUGAGGCAUUGCACCAAAUAUUUAACAUACAUUAUCUCAUUUCAUACCCACAGAACCCUUUCCACAAACACGUCAUAUGUGGUCCAAUUAGAAGACAGAAGAGGCAACUUAGAAUGUCACAGCAGCUGCUUAGUAAAUACUUGCUAACAGACUAACUUUAGCUUGAAAAAGGAAUUUUAUGGUGUCCGUUGUUCUGGUUAUAUAUCAUUACAUUAAAAAAACUACUCAAAAAUAUGGCUUAUAACAGUCAUUUAUUAUUGUUCUCUCAUGGUUCUGGGAGCUAACUGGGCUUAGCUGGGCAAUUCUCACUCCGUCUCUCAAGUUUUUGCAGUCAGAUGGCGAUGAGAGCUAGUAUGAGGGGGAAGAAAUACCUUCUCAUCCAUCACCAGGUUCAUGGCUGAGAACCUAAUAACAAAAGACAGACUAACAAGAGAAAAUAAUACGUCUCUAGGCACCUUUUCAGAUAAAGUGCCCCUGAAUUUAAAACAAUGGAUCUAAUUUUGAAUAUACUGUACAUCAUCCAAAAAGUCCAAAACCAAGAAAACACUGCAUUCAUGAGACAUCUUUCAGAUUGACAUUUGUCCCCUUGCCAGCUUACAACCAUUUUUAUCUAAAAAG
rnacentral:lncRNA from 13 species